rnacentral:lncRNA from 1 species
UUUUGACAGCCUACAUGCGCCUUCCGUGGCCUUACUUUCCUAAUACAACGAUGGGAAUUGCUGUUUGAAAACAGGUGACUAGUUUACUGCCAGCGAAGAGGAAUGUCUGGAUUCUCCUCUAAGUCCUUUGCACAAACUGCAGAAGCUGUCUCAUCCCAUCCUGAUGAAGCCCAUGCCUCUGACCAGAUUCUUCUAGAACUCAAGCAUAGGCAUUAGCCAUGGGGAUUCCCUUUUGGCCAAGAACCAGAGUCCCA